rnacentral:lncRNA from 1 species
ACAGAAGUAGUGAAUAUCAACUUUUUAAUCUAGGAUAAAAAUUAUGAUACUUUUCAUGAAACUUCACAGUAAAAGUGUCACAGUGUUAGCCCCAAAAGGAGUUACUAUGGGAAAUUGGAUUGCCAAUAUUUACAGAAAUGCAACCUAUAAAUGAUUGAAUGUGUAGAUUGUAACCAUGUGAACGGGGCUUUCUUUGGACUGAAAUGUUAUAGUAAGAGCAGUGUCUUCUUAUCAUCUCCAAAGUAGGUAGUUAAAACGCAAAUUGUUGCCUUAUUUAUCGGAUUAUGUUUAGAAAUGUGACCGAUAUUAAAGAAACGCUGCAGAAUGAAAGAAACAAAAUCCAUUUAACAAUUAUUGUAAUUCAUAAACAAAAUGUUAGUUUGCAUUUGGACGUACACAUACACUGUCACUACCUAAAGCAAUUACUGCUUCACGCAAAGGUCAGGAUGGGCAGUCAUCUCUUCAAUUAUUGUCUUUGAUAUAUUCUGGUAAUACU